CAGGAAGCUACGUUUGCUCUCAUUUUGUUCCUUUUUUUUGGAAAAAAAUAGUGUUGUUGAUGGGUCAGUAUAUCUCACCGGAAAAGGUGGAUUCUUUAUUUGACAUUUUUUCUCCACUUUUUAAAGCAUCUGUAUAUCAGGUUUUUGAAGUGGGGAAGCUGCAGGAGUGGCCUCUGUGGGAAGAGAAGAACAUAAGCUGUGCAGCAUUAGGUAAGCUGACUCCAAAAAGGGACUUGCUGUUGGCAAAAACUGAGCCAUCAGCAAUGUUAUUUACAAUUUUGAGAGGAGAUUUAAGAACGGCAAAAAAAUUCUACUGCACAACAGCAAUUAGGAGAGUGGUGUGAGAAAAUUUAGGGAGAAACAAUCCCUCAGCACCUGUGUUGG
ensembl:lncRNA